UACGUAGGCGGCUAGCGUUGUCCGGAUUUACUGGGCGUAAAGAGCGCGCAGGCGGUCGUUCAAGUCGAGUGUGAAAGCCCCCGGCUCAACUGGGGAGGGUCACUCGAUACUGAUCGACUUGAAGGCGGGAGAGGGAAGCGGAAUUCCCGGUGUAGUGGUGAAAUGCGUAGAUAUCGGGAGGAACACCAGUGGCGAAGGCGACUACCUGGCCUGUUUCUUGACGCUGAGGCGCGAAAGCUAGGGGAGCAAACGGG
rnacentral:rRNA from 1 species